GAAAUCACGAGGGGCGGUACCAUCCGUAGCAGCUCAGCUGAUGCCCAAACUCACCGUGGACCAGAGCCGAUGUCCGGGAGCCUUUGGAUGCAGCUCAUGAGGAUGCGGAAGAUGCGCACGGUCACCACUGGACUUUGAGCUCCGGCAUCACAAGACCGCUUGGACAUGCGAGACUCGCUGCCACUAACUGGUGCCUUCCAGCUCUAACUUCCAUGACCGUGAGUCUAUAGUUUUGCCUGGGCCCUGAGCCCUUUCCAUGGCCGGUAAGUACUGGUGACAACUGUCACCUCGUUGGCAGCGGGGAAGCGGCCAGCUCUGGAGGACUGUGGCAGGCCGGGAGUCUGUAGGGAUAUUUGCACACCCACGGCCUGUCUGCGCUCCAGGACAGUAAGUGGAGCCCACACUAGCGAGCCCACGGGCAGGCUUACGGCUUCACCACGCUCAGACAAGGGGCAGGUGAUCGGGUAAAGCUAAAAACAGGUAACAGAUUUUCACCCACUCCAGGGCCACUUUUCUCCUCUAUGGACUGCUCAACCCCCACCCGCUGAGUCAGAAUAAAGAUAGUUCAAUUCCCGAGGGACGUUGCCAAGAACCCUCGUUCCUCAACCAAAGACUCACAUCUGAGGAAUGUGAUGCAUGAGCGUAAGGGCUCUCAGCAGUGACCUUGAACCAAGAACACACAAAAGCUGAGAAGUCAGCUGACUUCAGAAGUGUACAGGACCCAGCUUCAUGCCUCGAAGAAGCUGCAGCGGUGAUCACAAAUGCUUCCUCCAUGACUUAAACAAAAAUAAAAAAAUAAAAAAACCUCGCUCCCACCACCCUUCCUGCAGACUUUUGGCUUCAAUAGACGGGGUUAUCCGGGUGCCCCCGUGAGGUCUCAGCAUUCAACGCUCAGGAUCACAGAGAUGAGAGCUGUCCUCUCGUCUGCGGACGUCCUAGGAGAAAGAGAAGGGAACGGGCCGUAUCGGUCACGAAUAGACUGGCCCAAGGGCUUCAUAAACAUCAUUGCAUCUUUUUUUAAAAAGAUUUUAUUUAUUUAUUC